GACAGAGGAUGCAAGCGUUAUCCGGAAUGAUUGGGCGUAAAGCGUCUGUAGGUGGCUUUUUAAGUCCGCCGUCAAAUCCCAGGGCUCAACCCUGGACAGGCGGUGGAAACUACCAAGCUGGAGUACGGUAGGGGCAGAGGGAAUUUCCGGUGGAGCGGUGAAAUGCGUAGAGACGUCGGAAGAACAACCGAAGCGGAAGGAAC
rnacentral:rRNA from 1 species